UCUUUAUUAUAGACAAAUAUCUUGUAUGAUAUUUAGCCUUCCAUUACAGUUUACCAUAGGUAUCAUAUUUGACCAUUUAUUAUAGACAAAUAUCUUGUAUGAUAUUUAGCUUUCCAUUUCGGUUUACCAUAGGUAUCAUGUUUGACCCUUUAUUAUAGACGAAUAUCUUGUAUGAUAUUUAGCCUUCCAUUACGGUUUACCAUAAGUAUCAUAUUUGACCCUUUAUUAUAGACAAAUAUUUUGUAUGAUAUUUAGCCUUCCAUUACAGUUUACCA